UACUAAAGAUUUCCGUGGAGAGG
rnacentral:piRNA from 5 species